UACAGAGGGGGCAAGCGUUAUUCGGAAUUAUUGGGCGUAAAGGGCGCGUAGGCGGCUUGGCAAGUGGAUGGUGAAAUCCCUCGGCUUAACCGAGGAACUGCCGUCCAAACUGCUUCGCUUGAGACCGGGAGAGGUGAGUGGAAUUCCCAGUGUAGCGGUGAAAUGCGUAGAUAUUGGGAGGAACACCAGUGGCGAAGGCGGCUCACUGGACCGGUACUGACGCUCAUGCACGAAAGCCAGGGGAGCAAACGGG
rnacentral:rRNA from 1 species